rnacentral:rRNA from 1 species
UUACUUCUCAGUGGCAGGUUAACCGUAUAGGGGAGCCGUAGGGAAACCGAGUCUUAAUAGGGCGACUUAGUCUCUGGGAGUAGACCCGAAACCGGACGAUCUAUCCAUGGCCAGGUUGAAGGUGGGGUAAUACCUGCUGGAGGACCGAACCAACUAAUGUUGAAAAAUUAGUGGAUGAGCUGUGGAUCGGAGUGAAAGGCUAAACAAGUCCGGAGAUAGCUGGUUCUCACCGAAAACUAUUUAGGUAGUGCCUCGUGUAUCACUCUCGGGGGUAGAGCACUGUUAUGGCUAGGGGAGCGUCAAGCUUUACCAAACCAUUGCAAACUCCGAAUACCGAGAAGUGGCAGCACGGGAGACAGACUGCGGGAGAUAAGUUUCGUAGUCGAGAGGGAAACAGCCCAGACCGCCAGUUAAGGUCCCCAAGUUACAGCUAAGUGGGAAACGAUGUGGGAAGGCCCAGACAGCCAGGAGGUUGGCUUAGAAGCAGCCACCCUUUAAAGAAAGCGUAAUAGCUCACUGGUCGAGUCGGCCCGCGCGGAAGAUAUAACGGGGCUUAAGCUGUACACCGAAACUGCGGAUGCAUGCUUGCAUGCAUGGUAGGUGAGCGUUCCGUACGCCUGUGAAGGUGUGCCGUAAGGCAUGCUGGAGGUAUCGGAAGUGCGAAUGCUGACAUGAGUAGCGAUAAAGGGGGUGAAAAACCCCCUCGCCGAAAGCCCAAGGUUUCCUGCGCAAUGCUAAUCAGCGCAGGGUGAGUCGGCCCCUAAGACGAGGCCGAAAGGCGUAGUCGAUGGGAAGCAGGUUAAUAUUCCUGCACCAGUCAUGACUGCGAUGGGGUGACGGAGAAGGCUAAAUCAUCCGGGUGUUGGAUAUCCCGGUUUAAGCGUGUAGGAAGUGUUCUUAGGAAAAUCCGGGAACACAAUUCUGAGGCGUGAUGACGAGGACCCAUUUGGGACCGAAGUGGUUGAUGCCAUGCUUCCAGGAAAAACCUCUAAGCAUCAGGUCAUGAGUGACCGUACCCUAAACCGACACAGGUGGGCAGGGCGAGUAGCCCAAGGCGCUUGAGAGAACUCGGGUGAAGGAACUCGGCAAAAUGGCACCGUAACUUCGGGAGAAGGUGUACCCCUUGUAUGUGAAGGUCUUUACGACUGGAGCAGAAGGGGGUUGCAAUAAAGAGGUGGCUGCGACUGUUUAAUAAAAACAUAGCACUCUGCAAACUCGAAAGAGGACGUAUAGGGUGUGACGCCUGCCCGGUGCCGGAAGGUUAAUUGAUGGGGUUAGCUGCUUGCAGCGAAGCUCUUGAUCGAAGCCCCGGUGAACGGCGGCCGUAACUAUAACGGUCCUAAGGUAGCGAAAUUCCUUGUCGGGUAAGUUCCGACCUGCACGAAUGGCGUAACGAUGGCCACACUGUCUCCACCCGGGACUCAGCGAAAUUGAACUCGCUGUGAAGAUGCA